rnacentral:RNase_P_RNA from 1 species
UGUGGGUGGAAGCCAUUGUAGAGGGGUCACAUGUGAGUGUGCUACUCGCACCCACCAUCCACCUCGGGGAAGGUUGAGACACGAGCCAAUGGUUUUACCCUCGCAGGUAUCCCUGAUGCAGUGUAGUGAUACCGUGAACAGACAGAAUGGGUCAAUGUGAGCAGUUCAAGCAGGGAAGCCGAUGGUGUGCUGAAAAAAACUUCUACUGAGGAUGUUGACUCUUCACUGACUUGGAAACGCUCACGGCUGGCAGAUGAAGUGCGAUGUAUGAGGUGGAGGCUAUUCUCCAGAACCAAUUCAGACUACUCUCCCCCACU